rnacentral:lncRNA from 1 species
UUGGGCGAAUCACUUGAACUGUUUAAAUUAUCUUUUCUUCAAAAUGCAUGGGAACAAGCUUUUAGUGAAAUGUUUUUGUGAUGUAGAACAUGAUUGUGAUGAAUCUAUGUACUUUUAUAUAACGCUAAUAUGUAUAUAAAGAUAUAUGACAUAUAUAUAUAUAUAUAUAUAUAUAUUUAAGUAAUUUUGUAUAAUUGAUACAAUCGUGCAUGUGCGUAGAGGGCAAUUGUCACAACCUGGAACUCCCAUCGGGCCCAUGACAACCGCCGCGACGUCCCAAUAGGCACUCAUUACCCAGAAUGCCGAUCGGAACCCUGAAAGGCUUAACAUCAGCUUCCGCAUCUCCCUGGUGAGUGACAAUUAUUAAAUCUCACAUUUCAAGAAAUCAUAAGUCGUUUCCAGAUCAAAACAAUAUAAUAUUAUUUUUUGGCUCAUAGGGGCAUUUUCAUCAUUUUUAUUCGAAAAUACCGAAACUCGCCAAAAACAUGAUGGAAAAGCUAAAUAUGUUCAUACAUACUUUAAAUCAGAUAAAUGAAGUAUAAAAUUACUUUAACAGUGACACGUGGGCCCCCAACUAACCAAUAAGGUGCAAGUCUGUGAACCUAUAAUUUUGUCGAUGCAAGGCUAACUGAAGUCCUUGAUGCAAUCGGCUAUCUACCAGCUAUCCCGAGCCUGAAAUGUGGGGAAUUGAGGGUGGUGAGAUUAUAAAAUCCCAGUGAGUAAACAGAUACCAUCUAAACCAUCUAAAGUCGAGUAAAUGGAGACAAAUUAAAAUAAGUCAUCAUAUUGUAAUUUCAUUACCUUUCAACUCAUUUCAACCAAAUAAACAAAUAGGCUUAUGAUUUCCUAAAAAGCUUGGCUCGUGCCAAAAAUCAUUCUUAUACUCAGUUAUCAGGGAUACCUUGAUCGAGGGUUAUCCCAACCGAGUCCGCCAAGACUAUUAAAUGUCUUUACAUCUGAAAUUUUAGCCAUGUCUUAGCGUUGGCUAAGUCUCACUCUCACGUGGUGGUCCACAUGAAGUGCACUCAAAUCUUUACCUCAGGAGAUACUUCAUCCAACAUCUUCCCCCAGAGGUAAAUAUAUAAUUGGGUUACCGUGCCCCUCUCAUAGGUAGUCCACGGAAACCCCCACCACUACAAUGACUAUGGAUUAUUUUAUCUAUCACCUGAUUUAUAAAAUCUUUUUCUGCAUGACAUGGCAAUUUAUCGCAACCUAGCCUCUCAAGGCUGAAUACACAAUAUAAAUAAUUCUAACACCAAAAAUCAGUUUAGCCAUUCAUGCUCAUUUAUUGUCAUAAGCCAUUCAAUUUAAAACCAUAAAUUUACAACACAAGUAGGUAGUCUCCAAUUACUCUAUUUUCAAAACUAGUAUUCAAUUUUUCAUAAAUUUUAUAAAAUCAUUUUAUAAAAUCACAAUUUCUCCUAAAAUAUAGCAAUUUACCAUUUAAACCCAUUUUUCAUAAAAUCACACAAUUGUAUAAAACCACUCUAGAUAAUUAAGACAAUAAUAAGUUUACUCACAGUUCUAAGAGUCGAUGUACUCCUAAUCCCAGUCUCCAAGCACAAUCUCUGUACUUUUACCAGUUAAUUUACUCACCACCUAUCCACAAUGAACAAUACAUAAUUCACCACAUCAAUGCUUGACCAUUAUAAAAUCAAUUCAGGCUUGGUGUAUAUGCAUGAUAUGAUAUGCGACUUAUCCAACUACCGCUUAAAUGCGAUGCUGACCUAAUUCGACCUAUUACCCGAUUAAAUGACAAUUGUGUCUGAUUUGACUCCAAAUUGCUCUAUUUCAUUUCUAAUAUUUCAAUUCACUAAAUACAAUUCCAAUAAUCUAAAAUUCAGCCUAACAACCCUCAUAAUCCUUCUUGAAAAUUUCGGCCAUUGUGGUGCACUAUCACUAAAAAUUUUCCCAUUCCAUUUUCUCACCAUAAAUCAUCAUUUCAUCAAUUUUUCAACCAAUUCACUUGAUCACAAAAUCAAUUCAUUACUUCUACACUUCACAUUGGGUUCGGUCAUUGCAGGUUCAUGGGGAAAAUGGAUUCUUUUCUUGUUGUUUUGUUUCUAAACAUGCUUAACUAACUAAAAACACUAACAUAACUUAGAAUUAAAUCAAUCUAACAUCAUUCUCUCUCCAUAUCCAUUCCAACCAGCCAUGAAUUCAUAAUGAAAACAUGUAAUUUAACCAUGGAAAAUGAGUAGAAAUGCAUGGGAAAGUUAGAUCACAAGUCAAAAUCAAGAAAUUUUACCUUUUGUCACUUGUUUCCUUGAAUUUUCACCAAUUUUUCCUUGAAUUUCUCCACCUAGGGUUUUUGUUUUUCUUUUCUCCCUUUGUUCUUCUUUGCUCUUGGUUUGGCCGGC